GAGGACACAAGAGAUUGUGUUGUUUUAACCUUUGGUUAGACACAGAUACAGGUGGUGCAUGGUUGUCGUCAGCUCGUGUCGUGAGAUGUUGGGUUAAGUCCCGCAACGAGCGCAACCCUUAUAUCUAGUUGCCAGCAGUAAGAUGGGGACUCUAGAUAGACUGCCAGUGAUAAACUGGAGGAAGGUGGGGAUGACGUCAAAUCAUCAUGCCCCUUAUGACUUGGGCUACACACGUGCUACAAUGGAUAGGAACAAAGAGAAGCGAGCUCGCGAGAGUCAGCCAACCUCAUAAAACUAUUCUCAGUUCGGAUUGUAGUCUGCAACUCGACUACAUGAAGCUGGAAUCGCUAGUAAUCGCGAAUCAGAAUGUCGCGGUGAAUACGUUCCCGGGUCUUGUACACACCGCCCGUCACACCACGAGAGUUUGUAACACCCGAAGACGGUGGCCUAACCUAUAAGGAGGGAGCCGG
rnacentral:rRNA from 1 species